rnacentral:rRNA from 1 species
GAUGAACGCUGGCGGCGUGCCUAAUACAUGCAAGUCGAGCGAACAGACGUGGAUCUUGCUCCUCUGACGUUAGCGGCGGACGGGUGAGUAACACGUGGAUAACCUACCUAUAAGACUGGGAUAACUUCGGGAAACCGGAGCUAAUACCGGAUAAUAGAUUGAACCGCAUGGUUCAAUAGUGAAAGACGGUUUUGCUGGCAAUGAUAGAUGGAUCCGGGCCGCAGUAGCUAGUUGGUAAGGUAACGGCUUACCAAGGCAACGAUGCGUAGCCGACCUGGGAGAGUGACCGGCGACACUGGAACUGAGAGACGGUCCAGACUCCGACGGGAAGCCGCCGUAGGGACUCUUCCGCAGUGGGCGAAAGCCUGACGGAGCAACGCGGCGAAGGUGAUCAAGGUCUUCGGGUCGUAAAGCUGUGUUAUUAGGGAACAACAACUGUUUAAGUAGCUAUACACGUCUUGACGGUACCUGGUCAAAAAGCAACGGCUAACUCCGUG